rnacentral:rRNA from 1 species
AUUGAACGCUGGCGGCAGGCCUAACACAUGCAAGUCGAGCGAGCGGCGGACGGGUGAGUAAUGUAUGGGGACUGCCCGAUAGAGGGGGAUAACUACGGGAAACGGUAGCUAAUACCGCAUACUAUCGGAUAGCCCAUAUGGGAUUAGCUAGUGGUUGAGGUAAUGGCUCACCUAGGCGACGAUCCCUAGCUGGGCUGAGAGGAUGAUCAGCCACACUGGGACUGAGAUACGGCCCAGACUACUACGGAGGGAGCAGUGGGGAAUGUUGCACAAGGGGCGCGAGCCUGAUGCAGCCAAGCCGCGUGUAGGAAGAAGGCCCUAGGGUUGUAAUGGACUUUCAGUCGGGAGGCGUUACCGACAGAAGAAGCACCGGCUAACUCCGUGCCAGCAGCCGCGGUAAUUC